GAUCAUGGCUCAGGACGAACGCUGGCGGCGUGCUUAACACAUGCAAGUCGAACGUGAUUUUUAUGGAAAUUCUUUCGGGAAUGGAAAUGAAAUGAAAGUGGCGAACGGGUGAGUAACACGUGAGCAACCUACCUUACACAGGGGGAUAGCCGUUGGAAACGACGAUUAAUACCGCAUGAGACCACAGAAUCGCAUGAUAUAGGGGUCAAAGAUUUAUCGGUGUAAGAAGGGCUCGCGUCUGAUUAG
rnacentral:rRNA from 1 species